UUGACCAGUUAUGUCAGGAAGCUGCAAUUAUUUCAAAGGAUCUUAAAAUGAAAGCUGACAAUGCUGAACUUGAAGCAGCUACCAGGGAGGCUGAACAAAUUCUACAAACGUUCAAUCCUCCACUGCCGAAAAAGAAGACCAAACGAGCCAGUGGCACUCUUCUCAAGCCGGUCUGUUUUGUGGAGAGGGAUGAGUAUGGGCAUCAUUGUGCCUAAACGGAGAAAGCCAAUAUCUAUCAAUAUCUACUUAUAUCAAUUGCACAGUGUAUUCUAGCACCUCAUACCAUUUUCUCCCUUUGAUAAUGUGUAGCAUCAUCAUUUGUCUGUACUGUAUAUUUCUAAUAAUCUCUAAUAAAUCUCUAUUUGUAGCUACAAAGAUCAACAAUCCAGUCAGUACAUCAUCUUUGGAGUCUGGGCAAGGAUACAUUGAUCAUGGUGAAAGACCAUCACUGUCUGCUCGCACUGUUUGGUCAGCUGUUGAAGAUAUAGAAACUCUUCAUCAAGAGGUAGAGAAUCUGCUAGCUGUGAAGACAUU